AAAGUUCCACCGGAAAAGCGUAGACCCAGCGCAUUCCGUAUCGAGUCUUGGGCUUGUGUCGGUAACGGCACAGGCUAAGCGUAGACAGAGAGAUUGCAGGCCGUAAGCAUUUGCUGAAGUGAUUGAGCCCCGAAAAAAGUAUGUUGGAAUGGCCGAUGAUUUCGAUGAUUCAGAAGGCAAUAUUCCAUGUGUCGUUUAUGGGAAGAUACACGGAGCAUUCCCGGGGUCUGAGAGCA
rfam:Desulfobacter postgatei 2ac9 chromosome, whole genome shotgun sequence.